rnacentral:rRNA from 1 species
GACGAACGCUGGCGGCGUGCUUAACACAUGCAAGUCGAACGGAAAGGCCCUGCUUUUGUGGGGUGCUCGAGUGGCGAACGGGUGAGUAACACGUGAGUAACCUGCCCUUGACUUUGGGAUAACUUCAGGAAACUGGGGCUAAUACCGGAUAGGAGCUCCUGCUGCAUGGUGGGGGUUGGAAAGUUUCGGCGGUUGGGGAUGGACUCGCGGCUUAUCAGCUUGUUGGUGGGGUAGUGGCUUACCAAGGCUUUGACGGGUAGCCGGCCCGAGAGGGUGACCGGCCACAUUGGGACUGAGAUACGGCCCAGACUCCUACGGGAGGCAGCAGUGGGGAAUAUUGCACAAUGGGCGGAAGCCUGAUGCAGCAACGCCGCGUGCGGGACGACGGCCUUCGGGUUGUAAACCGCUUUCGCCUGUGACGAAGCGUGAGUGACGGUAAUGGGUAAAGAAGCACCGGCUAACUACGUG